rnacentral:rRNA from 1 species
GAAAGAUGAAAAGAACUUUGAAAAGAGAGUUAAACAGUACGUGAAAUUGUUGAAAGGGAAACGAUUGAAGCCAGUCGUACCUUCGGGUAAUCAGCCUUUCGGGUGCGAUUCUGUGGAGUGUGAGGAGCUUAAACACCUUCAUGCUUUGCAUAUUCGUGCUCUUGGGUGUACUUGCCCGUGUGGUUGGUUAACAUCAAUUUCGGGCACCAUAAAAUGGCUGGAGGAAUGUAGCUUCGAUCUUGUAUUGAAGUGUUAUA